rnacentral:rRNA from 1 species
GGUCAAGUGAAUAAGAGCAUAUGGUGGAUGCCUUGGCAAUGAUAGGCGAUGAAGGACGUGAUAGCCUGCGAAAAGCUUCGGGGAGCUGGCAAAUAAGCUUUGAUCCGGAGGUGUCCGAAUGGGGAAACCCACCGAAAGGUAUCCCACACUGAAUUCAUAGGUAUGGGAGGCGAACCGGGUGAACUGAAACAUCUCAGUAGCUCGAGGAAAAGAAAUCAACCGAGAUUCCGAAAGUAGUGGCGAGCGAAAUCGGAAAAGCCUGUUAGUGAUAGCGCAACUCUUAACGGAACAGCAUGGAAAGGCUGACCAUAGCAGGUGAUAGUCCUGUACGUGAAAAGAAAUGUGUGAUACUGAGCUAACGAAAAGUAGGGCGGGGCACGAGAAACCUUGUCUGAAUAUGGGGGGACCAUCCUCCAAGGCUAAAUACUCAUCAUUGACCGAUAGUGAACUAGUACCGUGAGGGAAAGGCGAAAAGAACCCCGGGAGGGGAGUGAAAUAGAUCCUGAAACCGUAUGCUUACAAAAAGUAGGAGCCUGGAAACGGGUGACUGCGUACCUUUUGUAUAAUGGGUCAGCGACUUACAUUCAGUGGCAAGCUUAACCGAAUAGGGAAGGCGUAGGGAAACCGAGUCCGAAUAGGGCGAUUCAGUCGCUGGGUGUAGACCCGAA